rnacentral:rRNA from 1 species
AAUAGAUACCCCGGUAGUCCACGCCGUAAACUAUGGAUGCUAGCCGUUAUCGGUAUCGACCCCGGUAGUGGCGAAGCUAACGCGUUAAGCAUCCCGCCUGUGGAGUACGGCCGCAAGGCUAAAACAUAAAGGAAUUGACGGGGACCCGCACAAGCGGUGGAGCGUGUUGUUUAAUUCGAUGAUAAGCGAAGAACCUUACCCAGGCUUGACAUCCUUGGAAUUUUUCCGAAAGGAAAAAGUGCCUUUGGAACCAAGUGACAGGUGAUGCAUGGCCGUCGUCAGCUCGUGUCGUGAGAUGUUUGGUUAAGUCCAUCAACGAGCGCAACCCUUGUGAUUAGUUGAAUUUUUCUAAAUCAGACUGCCCUGGUAACAGGGAGGAAGGAGGGGAUGAUGUCAGGUCCGUAUUUCCCUUACGCUUGGGGCUACAAACACGCUACAAUGGCCGGUACAAAGGGCAGCCAAGUCGCAAGACGGAGCAAAUCCCAUCAAAAGCCGGUCUCAGUUCGGAUAGCAGGCUGAAACUCGCCUGCUUGAAGCCGGAAUCGCUAGUAACGGU